AUCUCUACUAUGAAAACUACUGGGACAUGAAAAGCCCCCCAUCCAGUGCUGUACAAAGAGGUAGUGGAUACAGUGCUGGGCAACACAGGGAGCAGCAAAUCUGGAGUAAAUAGUGCUGUGAGUGAUAAAUAUACAACUAUCUGGGUAUAUAGACUGUGUACAUUGUAUAUUAUACAGCCCUGGGUAUAUACUGUGUAUAUAAUGUAUGGGGGUAAAUAUACACCCCCUGUAUAUACUGUGUAUAUAAUGUAUGGGGUAAAUAUACACCCCCUGUAUAUACUGUGUAUAUAAUGUAUGGGGUAAAUAUACACCCCCUGUAUAUACUGUAUAUAUAAUGUAUGGGGUAAAUAUACACCCCCUGUAUAUACUGUGUAUAUGUAUGAUAUACACCCCCUGUAUAUACUGUGUAUAUAAUGUAUGGGGUAAAUAUACACCCCCUGUAUAUACGGUGUAUAUAAUGUAUGGGGUAAAUAUACACCCCCUGUAUAUACUGUGUAUAUAAUGUAUGGGGUAAAUAUACACCCCCCUGUAUAUACUGUGUGUAUAAUGUAUGGGGGUAAAUAUACACCCCCUGUAUAUACCGUGUACAUAAUGUAUGGGGUAAAUAUACACCCCCUGUAUAUACUGUGUAUAUAAUGUAUGGGGGGUAAAUAUACACCCCCUGUAUAUACUGUGUAUAUAAUGUAUGGGGGUAAAUAUACACCCCCCUGUAAAUACUGUGUAUAUAAUGUAUGGUGGUAAAUAUACACCCCCUGUAUAUACUGUGUAUAUAAUGUAUGGGGUAAAUAUACACCCCCUGUAUAUACUGUGUAUAUAAUGUAUGGGGGGUAAAUAUACACCCCCCUGUAUAUACUGUGUAUAUAAUGUAUGGGGUAAAUAUACACCCCCUGUAUAUACUGUGUAUAUAAUGUAUGGGGGUAAAUAUACACCCCCUGUAUAUACUGUGUAUAUAAUGUAUGGGGUAAAUAUACACCCCUGUAUAUACUGUGUAUAUAAUGUAUGGGGUAAAUAUACACCCCCUGUAUAUACUGUGCAUAUAAUGUAUGGGGUAAAUAUACACCCCCUGUAUAUACUGUGUAUAUAAUGUAUGGGGUAAAUAUACACCCCCUGUAUAUACUGUGUGUAUAAUGUAUGGGGUAAAUAUACACCCCCUGUAUAUGCUGUGUGUAUAAUGUAUGGGGUAAAUAUACACCCCCUGUAUAUACUGUGUAUAUAAUGUAUGGGGUAAAUAUACACCCCUUGUAUAUAAUGUAUGGGGUAAAUAUACACCCCCUGUAUAUACUGUGUAUAUAAUGUAUGGGGUAAAUAUACACCCCCUGUAUAUACUGUGUAUAUAAUGUAUGGGGUAAAUAUACACCCCCUGUAUAUACUGUGUAUAUAAUGUAUGGGGUAAAUAUACACCCCCUGUAUAUACUGUGUAUAUAAUGUAUGGGGGGUAAAUAUACACCCCCUGUAUAUACUGUGUAUAUAAUGUAUGGGGUUGUGACAAACUCCCCUCCACAAGCUCUUGGAGGAGCCAGCUUCCUGCCCACAGACUAUAGGCCCUGCAGGGAAACCUGUAAAAGACUACCAAACGUGACCGACCGCUAGCACUGAUUUUCUGGAACUGUUUCGGGCAUAGGACCAUGUGCACAGUCGGUCAAAAUGUGACUUCCAUAGAAUUUCUGAACCCCUGAACUGAUCGGGGUGAUUUUUGGAUAUGUUGGUCACCCAGAUCAGGGCUAUGAGGGGAUGUAACAUUUGUGGGGAUAUCAUGUGUUUUGUUUUUAGAAAUGUAUGGGUUUUUUUCUGUGCUUGGAGAUAAUUGGAUUAGAAUUAGUACAGUUACUGAUCCAAUAUCUCCCAGGAAGUGCUGAGGGAUUGUGUGUCAUGUGUGGGAGUGCCUUACAUUGUAAAUGUGUUAUUAUUGGUUUGUAAGUUUGUUGCCCUCGUCAUUCAGCAAGACCUAUCUUUUCUUGCCAACCGGGAGUGGGAACUAGAACAGGAUUAUGUUUGCCUAUUCCAACGGGUAACGCUGCCUGUCUCUGACAUGAUGGGGCUUACGGACUGUAUAACACCGAGACCGUUGAGUUUCGUCCCUCCUCCCCAGCAACUAAGCCUGUCAUCUGGAGACCUGGGCACUGUACCACCUACUUUCUAACCAGCCCCAGAGAUACUGGUCCUGGGGCUGGUUGGGAAGUAGGUGGUACAGUGGACAGGUGGAGAUGAGACUGAGGUCUCUCCAACUGCCCUACAGGGAUGAGGGCAGCUGGCCCAGAUCUCCAACCCCAGAUUGAGAUGUUAAGAGUGGGGACGGUCGGUCUCACUCCCCAGUGGCAGUGAGGUACAGGGAACAGAGACCCCGGUCUUGUUCCCCAACUGCAGUGUGUGUCCUAAGGAGAGAAAGAUUUCAUCCUUCCACUCCAGCGGCAGAGUGUGUUAUUGGGAGAGGAGAGUAUCGUCCUCCAUCUCCAGCGACAGAGUGAAUUACAGGGAGUGGAGAUGGUCGGUCUCAGUCCCCAGUGGCAGUGUGCAACUCAGGGAGAGGAGAGUAUCGUCCUCCAGCAUCCACGGGUGUUACAGGGAGUGGAGGCAACCGGUCCCACUCCCCAGCGGCUGUGUGUAUUCCAGAGAGAGAAUGGUGUCGCUCUUCCUCCUCGGUGGCAAAGGGUAUUAUUGGGAGAGGAGACGAUCGGUCUCUCUCCCCAGCGGCAGUGUGUUACAGGGAGUGGAGAUGGUCGGUCCCUCUCCCCAGCAGCUGGUCCUGUCGCCCAGAGACAGGCCCCCUAGCUUAGAUGGUGCAGAUGGGACAGAGGUCUCUGCACCAGCCCUAUAGGGAUGUUGGGCAGCCUACCCAGAUCCACAGCUGACCAUUCACAGUCAUGGCCCAGGUGCAGGAGACGGAACUACGGCCUCUACAGACCUCCUUCCAACAGAAGAGCUGGCAUCUGGGCAGAAUGCAGCUCGUCUUUGCCCUUUUGUUCUGAGGCCUGACGACCCACAAGCCAACCCAACUGAACCGCUGGCUAUGGGACAGAGCGCCGCUGGCCUCUGCCUACCAGGCACUGAUGAGGGAAACUGCACCCUCCAUCCCCAGAGAGUACUUGGUCCAUCCAGGGGGAAGUGCAUCCAGGUUGUUUCCCCACAGUUCACUGGAUGUACAAAUGGGCACUUGUGGCAGGAGGCCGUCUGGACAACUACGCUUUUUGGGAAAGGCCACCAGACCGAUUGGAGGUCUGGGGUCUGGAUAGUCUCCCCGGAAGGGGGAAGAUAUUUGACAAGCUCCACUCUCCAAGUGAGUUGCCACAAGCUCCUGGAGGAGCCUGCUUGCCAGCCUCCUUCCCACAGACUAUGGGCUUUGCAGGGAAACCUGUAAAAGACUGCAAAACUUGACUGACCGCUGGCACUGAUUUCCCUGGAACUGUUUUGGGCAUAGGACCAUGUGCACGGUCGGUCAAUAUGUGACUUCCAGGAAAUUCUGGAACCCCUGAACUGAUCUGGGUGAUUUUUGGAUAUGUUGGUCACUGUAACGGCUACUCAGCUGGAGAGGGGUAUCUGCCAUUGGAGACGUCCCAAAAAGCCUCAUUUGUUUUUCCUGAUAGCUUUCCAGCCAAAAUAGUGACCCAUUGGUCUGGUGGUAUCCGGUGUAGUGAGCACUGCCUCUCAAAGUCAUCCAAAUACCCGUCAAUCUCUUCCUCACUUUCCACAAAUGCUUUGAACGCAGUGAACGGUAUUUUCUGCCCUGUAGCAGCGGGUGGGGGAGUAUGAACUGUAUGUGCAAUGGGUUGUCUAGCUCUUGCUAGUUCAAGUUCGUGUCCCCUCCUAUUUUGUAUCUCCGUUCUUGCUUCCCGGAACAGUUCCACGGAUGUUGCUGGGUACAUGGAUAAUCUCCGCUGAACAAGAUUUGUAAUUUCCUCCUCCUCGCUGACGGGUAGGUUGGUCCGCGACCUCCAUGGAUCGAUCCAUCUCGUCCAGCUCCAGUAGGUCAGCUAUCAGCUCUCUCCAUGGUCAGUUGCUGGCACUCCUUCCUCUGGUUUCCAAUAGAACCUUUAGUGUGGGUCUUUUCAGUUUAGCGUACUGGAAUUCCAUUCAGCACUUGCUUUGGGGAUGAAAAGGACCAUCCCGCCGCUGCCACCAAUGUAAUGGCUACCCAGCUGGAGAGGGGUAUCUGCCGUUGGAGACGUCCUUUUCUAGGCAAGCUGCUGUGAAGUAAUGGAGUUCUUAUUCCCAUCCACGAUAUCCAAGUGUAUAAUCCGGCAGUACUGUAAAAUGAGGCAGAGUAACGGUACCAUAAAUCCCCUCCAAGAAUGAGACGAGGCUACGUUUUGAAGGGUCAAGUAGAACUGAUGUUUAUUGACAGGGGUCUCCUUUUUUGCAAUGGUGCCCUCUGAAAGGCUACACCCACAUAAUUAACACAACAGCCAAUUAGAUACAUGGUUCAACCCCCACGUCUCCUCCCCUCAGAUAACCUAUAACAUAAUUAAAACAGACACAAUUUUAACCACAUUCUGGAUGUACCCCAAAAACAGGGGGUACACCUUUAUGUCCAGCACCGCUUGACAAUAUGUCCAAAUUUCAGCCCAUUCGAUUGAGGGGUUCGGGAGUUAUGGAUCUUUGAAGUUUUGACCGACCGCACAGGUUUUCUAGCCGAAAAGAGUUCCAUAAGUUUUGGCCUUGCGGUCGGUCUCCGUUCGUGCAUUAAAACCCCACGAACUCCUUGCCAUCCACAGUCAUCCUGGUGUUUGCUGGAAUCCCUAUGAGAGCUUAAACAAAACUACCGAACGGCCGGUUGUUCGGUAGUUCCAGCACGAACUUACGAGCUCCUGGAGGUCUCAGCGGUGUUCUCCUGUUUGCGUAUCCAUUUUUAGUUCCAUGCGUUCACAGGCAAACACUGCUAUUCGUGCAUAAGAUGUCCCGAAAUGGCGGCCAUCUAACCUGAGCACAAAGGAAUUCGUAUGAACCAUGCGAACGGCUCCACAAGCGCUGGGAGGUAAAAUACCAAUUAACUGUUCCCCUGGGUGGUCCGAUGUUUGGUAUUUUGGGCUGUAUUCUCUAGUAGGAAUAUUUCCACGAAAAUAGCCAUUCGGUUUUUGUGUAAUACAUCCAGCAGCGUUGUUAUCUAAGUCCAGGCAAAAAGCAUGGGCAAAAGCAUAGUUCUGUUACAGUCACCCAGAUCAGGGCUAUCAGGGGAUGUAACAUCUGUGGAGAUAUCGUGUGUUUUGGGGUACUUUUGGGACUUUUUAGAAAUGUGUGUUUUUUUUCUGUGCUUGGAGAUAAUUGGAUUAGAUUUAGUACAGUUACUGAUUCAUGUGUGGGAGUGCCUUGCAUUGUAAAUGUGUUAUUAUUGGUUUGUAAGUUUGUGUCACUGUCCCUAACAAGGUCCAUGUGGGCGUACCCCUUGCUUGGGGACUUGUGUAAAAGGCCAAGUGUGGCACCAUUAAAAUCUAUUCCAGCUUACACUCCAAAACUGUGUGUCGUCCUGUUAUUGGAGGGAAAGAAGAUUUACUCCUGUGUCUGCUGUUCAAGAUGCAGGGGAUUCAACAGGGAGUCCUUGUAAGGACUAGAGCUCCCAGGACUGAGUGUCGUACAGUGCCUGGGGGUGUCUAGAGCUUAUUCCCCAUUCGGUUCCAGGAAGGAGCGGUUCCAGGGCCCCAGUCAAGCCACAGUGACUGUGGGCAGAUGUGCAGAGGUUUGUCCCCUGUUCCAGCUAUGAAGCGGUCAUUUGGCGGAGGUACCCAGUCAGGGUACAGGGAGCUCUGUUACAAUUGGAUUGGCUGAUUUAUUGUCACAUUCCAGCUGCAGCGAGACCGACAUACCGAGGGACUACAGGUGAGUAAAAUAGCUCUCUGUUACUAUUUCAGGGCGGUCUAGUAAUCUUACUACGAAGGGAAACACUCUAAUGUUGGAAAUACACGUGUCUAACGUUUAAUGUCUCUUUUACAUUAUUAUUAUUUUUUAUCUGAGGAUGUUUGAAAUUUAUUUAAAAGGACGUUGUUUUUAUGUAUAGAUCUCACUGCUCAAUUAUCUGCCAAUUUGGAGUUAAAUCACAUUUGUUUCUGUCCAUGCAGCCUAGCCACAACUCUCCUGGCUGUGACCGACACAGCCUGCAGGAGAUAGAAAUGGUUUCAUUUUCAAUCCGAUGUUAACUUCCUUUAGAAGUUUUUAUCUCAUGCUCUGUAAUAUGAAAUGUAAUCACACACUGGAGGAUCCUGCAGGGUCUAGAAGGCUUUUAACAGAGCAGGAGACACAUUUGAAAUUAAACAGAACGUGCAAUUAAAGGGACACUCCAGUGCCAGGAAAACAAACCAUUAGACCUCCCCAUAGGAAAGCUUUGGAAAAUGAUUUCAAUGCUUUCCUAUGGGGAUUUCAGCGACGCAGGAGGUCCUCACAUUGCGUGAGGACAUCCAGCGACGCUAUAGCACAGCAAAUCUGUGCAUAGCAAAUCUGUGCUAUAAACCCUAGUGUACAGCCUCUAGAGGAGGAGUUAACCCUCCAUGGUAAAUAUUGCCAUUUAGUUGCAGGGUUAUGGGUAGUGGGAGUUGGCAGAAGUGGUCUGGGUGCCUGGAGUGUCCCUUUAAGGAAGUAUAAACAUUAGAUCUAAUUUUACAGGAAGUGUUAUGAAAGGCUGUGUAAGUCAUAUGUAGGGAGGUUUGGCUAGGCUGCUUAAACAAAGUGAUUUAACUCCUAAAUGGCAGAGAAUUGAGCAGUAAUGUUGCAGAAACAUGCUAUAUACACCAAAACUGCUUUAUUAAGAUAAAGUUUUUCGGUGACUAUAGUGUCCGUUUAACCAUAUUGUUAUAUUAAUAUUUAUUAGUAUAUUAGUAAAGUGCCUACUUAAAUACAUUGUAUAUCUGUAAUUACAGAGCCACAGAAUAUCCUAAUUCCUGACCACAACCCCAGAGUCGGUUCUCGGGCUGCCUGAUUGGCUUAAUGAUGACAAACACAAACAGGAAUCAGAUGACCGAGAGGUUCCUGGAUCUGACCCUGGAGGUCAACUACCUGCUGACUGGAGAGGUGAGGGAUUCUGGGAAUGUCACAGCAACUACACAGUUUGUCCCUUUUGUUUUUUUUUUUAGCUUACCUCCCUGUCUUCACAUAUAAGAUAAGAUCCAGUAGAUUAUGGACACGUCUUUAAUUAUUAAUAAUCAAUGGGAUUUCACUGUGAGAUGUUCUAGCUUUAUUUUUCAAUAAGGCAAUUGACGUUCUCUGUAGGUAGAUAUGAUUUUUGUUCUUAUGCUUUCCACACCCAGUCCAGGGAGCAUUGAGCUAACCAUGCUGGGAAAGUGCAGAGAGGGAGUCUGAUUCACUGCACAUCAUUGCACAGCUUGUGCUGUCAGUAGCCAGCCUGAUCCGUGGGAUUUCUCCAGAGCAGGCCCACCUUGCUGUGUUUCUCUCUCUUCCUGCUGUGUCUCACGAAGGAGCUUGCUGCUACUGCACAAUGAUGUCCUGUCUUUGUCAUUAGUGUACUGGUCUGAAACUGGGGUGGGCGGGUAAGAGGAUAAUUAUUUGAAUUGAAAAGGCCAACCCUUUUACCGUGUGUAUAUGUAGCCUAUGUAGUGACCGUAUUUGUCGCUGGGAUGCUUAAUUUGCAUAUUGUCCUUUAUAGACAGACGGAAUAUGAAAGUCAUAAAUAUCCUUUACUGAGAGAUGUGUAUUUUUAUUAGGUGCUUAAUAUUGAUUAGAAUGCCUCUCUCUAUAUAGGAUUAUAUAAUUGUGAAGAGAUCUGGUGAGUUGAUAAUACAGGGCAGAAUCCCUCGUGCGUCAGAUGGAUCCAGCAGGACCCAGAGCCCCAGCAUGGUGCCUCUACCUCACUCACUGAUACAGGAUAGAAACAAUGAGCAGAAGGUCCUGAAACUGACCAAUCAGAUCAUCCACCUGCUGACUGGAGAGGUGAGGCUGCUGGGAAUGGGACAUCAUAGAGUAAAACCAAGGGAUGUGUCUGGGUGGUGACUGUAUCAUUGUGUGUGUCAGGUUCCUGUUAGGUGUGAGGAUGUG
rnacentral:lncRNA from 1 species